GGUGCAUGGGCACGACACGGGUCCUGGCGGAGCCCGAGCCACCACUCACCAUCCUGGGAGAGCGACAGCGGCAGCAGCAGCAGAAACGCUGAGAGCACCAGCGCGAAGCGCAUCGUGUCCUGGCCUCAGACCCGGAGCAGGCAGGCAACUGACUGAAAAAGAGGUUUAAGAAACUUGCUCGAGAUCACAUAACUGCUAACUGUCAGGCCUGCUUCUGAAAGUAUCAAUAAUUUGGAGACAUACUUGGCGCAGUGCCUGACGUGUAGUAAUCGCUCACUGCUGGAAGGAUGCAGAGCCUGGAACCCCCUGCGGAGGAGGCGCAAGGGUGGCGCCGGAGAAAGGGAAGCAGACCCAGAGGGGGG